AUAUAGUGAAGUUACUGAGUUCUAUUGGGCUGAAUCUUAUGAUGCCAUAUUUCUGUGGGUACCUUUUCAGUGUCAUGCUAUGAAGACUUGUUAUUUUUAUAUGUGACAAUCUAUGCGUACUUAAAAGUAAACUGUAAAUCAUGUUUUUAUGCCUUCAUCCCAUUUUAAAGAUUCUUUGAUUUCCUUCCCACCAGCAUAUGGCGAUCAAGCCCUUAGCUGAUAGAGUUCUUGUUAAGAUCAACUCUUUUGAAGAGAAAACAAGGGGAGGUAUAUUGCUUCCAACCGCUGCUUGGGCUUAACCUCAAGGUGGUGUGGUUGUUGCUGGUGGAGAAGGCAGAACCAUUGCCAAGACCAAAGUGGGCAUUGGUGUGCACUAUGCAGAUUGUGCAAGCUGAGGGGAGAACUACCAGUGGCUUGAUAUUGACUGAGGACAACAAGGAAAAGCCUUCUAUUGGGAUGGUGAUCACCUUUGGGCCAAGUUCAUUGGAUGAGGAGGGACUGCAAAAGCCAUUGUCGAUCACCCUGGGUGAAACUGUUUUAUACUCCCAAGUAUUCAAGAAGUGAAUUUAAGGGUGCAGAUGGUGCCUGAUUAUUUCACCUAAAGGACAUCAAUGUGAUGGCUGUCCUCUCAAAUCAAUGAUCUUUCAAAUUUGUCAUGGUGCCCGAAAGAGUUUUCAAGCUGAGUUGUCAAUUGUAUAAUCCAGGACUACAAAGUUAUUAGUGUUUUUGUUUAUUUUAUUUUAUUUUAUUUUUUUGAAGCAAUGUUUGGUUGGUGAGAUUUCUGUCUUAUGUAUCUCUGAAUCCAGAACUGAGCUCAGUGUUUUGGUGUUUGACAUUUUUUUCUCAAGGAAUUUGAUUUAUCUUGACUUGAUGUAAA